rnacentral:rRNA from 1 species
AGUGAACGCUGGCGGUAGGCCUAACACAUGCAAGUCGAACGGCAGCACAGUAAGAGCUUGCUCUUACGGGUGGCGAGUGGCGGACGGGUGAGGAAUACAUCGGAAUCUACUUUUUCGUGGGGGAUAACGUAGGGAAACUUACGCUCAUACCGCAUACGACCUACGGGUGAAAGCAGGGGAUCUUCGGACCUUGCGCGAUUGAAUGAGCCGAUGUCGGAUUAGCUAGUUGGCGGGGUAAAGGCCCACCAAGGCGACGAUCCGUAGCUGGUCUGAGAGGAUGAUCAGCCACACUGGAACGGAGACACGGUCCAGACUCCUACGGGAGGCAGCAGUGGGGAAUAUUGGACAAUGGGCGCAAGCCUGAUCCAGCCAUACCGCGUGGGUGAAGAAGGCCUUCGGGUUGUAAAGCCCUUUUGUUGGGAAAGAAAAGCAGCAGGUUAAUACCCCGCUGUUCUGACGGUACCCAAAGAAUAAGCACCGGCUAACUUCGUG